AGAGAGAGGUGUUGGUUUCCAGUUGUUUGCUUGAUCUGUGCAGAAAGAGUAGAUAAUUCUGGAGCUUUUCGGAAUUGAAGGAUGACGAACACAUUAUUAAAACAAAUUGCUUGAUCUGUCUGGUUUUGGAGGUACAGAGCUGGGUUGCUUUUAAUCGGUGGUGUACAUAUCAUUUGGGUUACCUCUAGAGAAGCUACAUAGGUUAGUCAGUACUUCGUUUAUGAGUUUAAGUUUGGUUUCAAUGAUUGUUGAGCACUUUUGGGUGAUAUUUGAUUUGUAUGAAAUGCUUAUGGUUUAGAGGGGUUCGAUUUUAUAGCGUGAUCUAACUUUUGUAUUUGACUUGAUUCUUGGUAUUGUGGUCGACCUGUGGAGGAAGUGUGCGGUGAGUCUAGAGGUUGUAUGUAUUAAAAGGGUGGGGAUUUGGAGUGCAGACAAAGAGAAGAGGUUUCGUUGUUAAGAUUCGUAAGUAAUUGUUUAUUUGCUGGUUUGCAAGUUCAGAAGUUUGGAGCUGGGUUUGAGCCAAUUUUUUUAAUUUUUUUUUAUACCAAUAUGUUUGUAGUUAAUUAUUAUAAUGUUUAGUAUUGAUUGAAGGUCAACUCAGAUAUUGCUCUUCAACUUAGUUAUCCAGUUUUGUUAACCAAAAUUGAUAAUUUAUUGUUUGUUGCUGUAAUGCUUAUUUUGUGUUUUGGUUCCACAAUCAACCUUCUCAUUCAUAUAACUUACUCUAAGAGUUGUCAUGGAUCCUUAAUGCUAUCUGUGUAAUGCCGAAUGCCACAAAUUAAGAGCCAUCAAAGUGCCAUUAUCCAGUAAUUACCCCAACAAUGUCAAGCACUCCUCUUGAUGCAAGGGUAAUAGUAUUCAGGUAAAUUAGCUAAGGUGACCACUGAUGCAUGUAGCUUUGAUUACAAGACACUGCAUGUGUCAGAGACUAAUAGCUCAGGGAAAGCAUAGGUUUCAAGUCUAGACAAAACCCUCAGAAAUCAAAUGGCCAAAGUCCAAAGAGAUAUGCAGUGAAAGUCCAUGCUAUUUUAGCUUAUAGAUUCUGAGCUAGAUAAAUCCAUCAACCCUUUUAGACCAAUCCAUGUUGAUGGAUUGGCUUCUGUCUGGGAUGUACUACUCAGCUACUCAACAAAAAUAGGGGAGGUAAUCCACCAUGUGUUGAAGUUCAGAUGCAGGAAUAGUUCAUUUUAAGUAUUAAUUAACACUUGCUCUAUAUCAUUUUUGGUAAGAAGAAGAAAAAAGUUGAUGCAUGUCGUACAUGGAUUCCACUUAUGGCAAUGUACUGCUUCAUCUCAUACCCUCACUUUAUAAUUCUGUAGUAGCAAUCAAAGAAGACAAUGCUCUAGCUCUUGCUAUAAUUCCAUAUUAGAUUGAGAAAAAUUUGUCAAAUAUGCAUUGUGGAAUUUAAUGAUCAACCAUUUUACC